GCCCAUAGGUGUCCACACAUUGCUAAGUUUUCUUGCUGAGCCUUUGAAACAGCCAACUGAAACUCUUCUUUCUACUAAGGAUCAUGAUGUUUCUGAGAACCUAAGAGAGUUCUAGGACUGGAGCGAGUACUACUCUUGUGAUGCAACUUAUCGCAACUGGCUGAAAGUUGAGUUAGAGAAUGUGGAAGUUUCUCCCCUUGAAUUGUCAGUCGAGGAAAAGCAAAGAGCGAUUGCCGCAGCUAAGGAAACACUAAAUUCAUCAUUUUCACUGCUCUUGAGAAAAGAAAAUCCAUUGUUGGUUCCCACUGAAGAUCGUGUUUAUGAAUCAGUAGAACCUUUGUUCCUAGAAUUGCAUGCCAUUGCAAUGCUCUGUCUGCCUUCUGGUGAAUGUAUGUGCCCAGAUGCCACCUUGUGUGCAACACUAAUGAGUGCCCUUUAUUCUUCAGUAAGUGAGGAAGUUGUCUUAAAUCACCAGCUCAUGGUAUGUUGCUUCCUUUUGUCCUGUCAUAUGAUUCAGAGGGAUAGGGGCCAAAUGAAAUGGUAUAUUAGUUUUUGGUAAUUUGAGGAUAGCUUUACACUUUUGUGCUUCAUUGUGCCUUAAGGAUCUAUAUGCCAAAUUUGAUUGCAUUAUUUUAA